GAGCAGGAUGCUUCCACAGAUAGAUGUGCUCUCCCUUUCUCCAGUCAAAGUCUUCAGUAUUUUGAUUUUCCAUCUUCUAAUACACUUAAAUCGAGAAAGAAAAAUAAUGCUCUAUGCUGAGAAGAACCUCAUAGGGAGCUGUGCUUUUGAUUUUUACUCCGUCGCAUGGGAUGAGAGCACCGAUGCUACAGACGCUGCACAGCUGCUCAUUUUUUUGCGGGGAGUGGACGAGAGCACGAGCGCUUUAGAGUACACACCGCUGUGCACUGCCCACGCACACGCAAAGUCAGCUGAUCUCACCUGAUGCAGAUUUGCUCCUUGAUCAAGUGACAUUUGUCUGG